AUUUUUUCAAAAAAAAUGAGUGAAUAAGUGGAAAAAAUCUGCAAAAAUCAACUUUAGGGGACUGCAACAUGAAGCAACACAAAACCGGCGAUAAUGCCCGACCUUUUAAAUUAGCCCAUCAAAUCCUCAGUCUAACUGGGAUAAGUUUCGAAAGAAAGAGUAUUAUAGGCUUCGUUGAACUUACAGUAGUACCAAUCAAAGACACCUUAAGAGUAAUCAAAAUCAAUUCCAAACAAAGCAGGAUCUACAAGGUACUAUUGAACGAUCAAUAUGAGGCCCAUUUUCAGUAUUUUGACCCAUUUUUGGAUGUGUGUCAAGGUGAUACAGACACUCGCAGCCUAGAACAAUUCUCAAUAAACCACUACAAUUCAGCACUAAAAACAGACCCAGAUAACAGUGCUGGAGAGCUAGUGAUCACAAUACCACCGGAAGCAAUACAUUUAGUAGCAGAAGGCACCGCUUUAAGGGUGGGAAUUGAAUUUUCCCUGGAACAACCUCAGGGUGGCAUCCAUUUUGUUGUGCCCCAAAAGGAGGGCACUUAUGCAGAAAGGGGGGUUCAUAUGUUCACUUACGGGCACCAAAACUCUUCGCGGUUAUGGUUUCCUUGCGUGGACAGUUUCGCCGAGACUUGCACUUGGAAGUUGGAGUUUACGGUGGACAAGGAUAUGACCGCUAUAUCUAACGGGGAUUUGAUCGAGGUGGUGUUUACUCCUGACAUGCGAAGGAAAACUUACCAUUACACUUUGAAUGUGCCCACUUCGGCCCCGAAUAUUUCCUUAGCGGUGGGGCCUUUUGAGAUUUUCGUGGACCCAUAUAUGCAUGAGGUGACCCACUUUUGUUUGCCCGGCAUGUUGCCUUUGUUAAAAGUAACCACCAGAUAUAUGCAUGAAGCUUUUGAGUUUUACGAAGAAACUUUAUCAAACCGCUACCCAUAUUCUUGCUAUAAGCAAGUGUUUGUUGACGAGGCAUAUGAAGAUUAUCACUCUUAUGCCACCAUGAGCAUCUUGAGUGUUAAUUUGCUGCAUUCUGCUGUCAUUAUUGAUCAGGUAUAUAUUACUAGGAAAGCCAUGGCCCAGGCCAUAGCAGAACAAUUCUUUGGCUGUUUUAUUGCCAUGCAAAGCUGGUCCGAUAUGUGGCUCAAUAAGGGAAUCAGCCAGUACCUGUGCGGUUUAUAUUGCAAAAAAAGCUUCGGAAAUAACGAAUAUCGCGAGAUGAUUCACAGCAUGUUACAGGACAUCGUUAAAUACGAGGAGGAGUAUGGGGGAAUCAUUUUAGAUCCAAGUCAGCCGCCCGCCCCUUUAACUGUCGGUGGAAACCCCGCGCAAACGACCCAAAGUAAAAACGAGGAAAAGUUUUAUUUUUCCAUCAGGAAUCUACACACCAUGUCCCCCAUGUAUAUUGAAACUUUACAUAAGAAAGCGAUGCUGGUCAUGCGAAUGUUGGAGCAUAGGAUCGGGCUGGAGUUAUUGUUGCAAGUAUUUAAUAAGCAACUCUCGUUAGCCACAAACGCAGCCUCCCAAAAGAUCGGCAGCGGCCUAUGGGGCCACAUGUUAAUCAGCACAAACGUCUUCACGAAAGCGAUCUUCACCGUAACCGGUAAGGAUAUGGCCGUUUUUAUUGACCAAUGGGUACGGACGGGGGGACACGCUAAAUUCCACUUGACGUCCGUUUUUAAUAGAAAAAGGAACACUAUCGAGCUGGAAAUAAGACAAGACGCGACGUCACAGUUGGGCAUAAGAAAGUACGUGGGGCCGCUGUUGGUUACUCUGCAAGAGCUAGACGGCACCUUCAAGCAUAAUUUACAAAUCGAGAAUAUCGUGGUGAAGCACGAUAUCACUUGUCAUUCGAAGAGUCGCAGGAAUAAGAAGAAGAAGAUUCCGUUGUGUACUGGGGAGGAGGUCGAUAUGGAUUUGAGUGUAAUGGAUGAUUCUCCAGUUUUAUGGAUCAGACUGGACCCGGAAAUGACCAUUUUAAGGUCCGUGGUGAUCGAACAACCGGACUAUCAGUGGCAAUAUCAGUUGCGGCACGAGAGGGACGUCACUGCCCAAAUUGAGGCCAUUUAUGCUUUAGAAAGGUAUCCCACACCUGCUACCCGAUUAGCACUCACCGACACCAUUGAAAACGAACAGUGUUAUUACAAGGUGCGGUGUAAGGCCGCCCAUUGUUUAACUAAGGUAGCAAACGCAAUGGUGGCAAACUGGGCAGGCCCUCCUGCCAUGUUGGCAAUUUUCCGAAAAUUCUUCGGAUCCUUUGCCGCCCCGCACAUCAUCAAACAAAACAAUUUCCAGAACUUUCAGCACUACUACAUCCAGAAGAAUAUUCCUUUGGCAAUGGCCGGAUUACGUAACAAUCAUGGAAUUUGUCCUCCCGAGGUCGUGAGGUUCCUGCUGGACCUCUUCAAGUACAACGAUAAUUCGAAAAAUCGCUUUUCCGAUAAUUAUUAUCGGGCGGCCCUCAUUCAGUCCUUGGGUAACACCAUUACCCCGGUGGUGUCGGUGGUGUCCCAGGGGGCUCCCAUAACCGCGGAAAACCUAAGUGCGGACACAAAAUUAAUUUUAGAAGAGAUCACGCGACUAUUGAACCUGGAGAAGGCCCUACCGUGCUACAAAUACACCGUUUCCAUCGAAUGUCUUAAGGCGAUCAGGAAAUUGCAGUGUUACGGCCAUUUGCCGAGCAGGGCCACUUUAUUCAAAUUUUACGCCCAGUACGGACAUUUUAUCGAUGUGAGGAUCGCGGCUCUGGAAUGUCUAGUGGAGUUCGUAAAAGCCGACGGGAAAACGGACGAUUUGAAGUGCGUCCUGGAUAUUGUAGAAACGGACUGUGAUCCUGGAUUGAAGCAUAAGUUGCUCCAGAUUUUAGUGCGGGAUCCGCCGUUUAAGAGGGCGCACCGGUCGAAAUUGGACACGCCCGAACUGGUGGAGCGGAUAUGGAAUAAUGCCAACGCCACCCUCCCGCACGACAGCCGUCUACGUUGCGACUGGGUGGACCUCUACUACACCCUCUACGGUAACAGACGGCCGGUGUGCAUCCCUCUGCCGGAACUCUCCGGCCUAGUAAACCUCGCCAAACCGGACAUCAAGAAAAUCAAGACGGCCAUACCGAAACUCGCACAUGCCGACAACAGCGCGACAGUGGCGGCGGCAGAGAUCAAACGAGAACCGCCGUCGAAGGUUCCGGAAGCCACGGAGGUGGCGCCCUCGAACGUCAUCGUUGACGCUAACGCGGAGUGUAUGAACGUUGAUGACGUCAUUGAUUUGGUGGAGGCGGAUGUUAAGGUGGAGCCUAAGUCGGAGCCUAUGGACGUGGUUUCAAUAGGGGAAAACGUGAUAAAACAAGAGCCUAAACAGGAAUACUUCUCGGAUAAUUCGGUGUCGUUGCCCGGUAUGGGUCAGGCCGGACCCAUAGGGUUCGAACCCGGGAUGUUUAAGAAGGAAGAGGGUCCGGGAAGUGUCGGGAGUAUCGCAGGCGGGAAGCAUAAGGAUAAAGACAAAAGUGACCCGUCGGGAAUUAAGUUGAAGAAGAAGAAAAAGGACAAAAAGAAACACAAGCACAAACACAAACACCACAAGCACAAGAAAGAGAAGGACCCGAACAAUAGGGCGAAAGUGAAGGAGGAAGUCACUCCGUCGACCACGCCCACUUUCGUUAAGGAGGAGACGUUGAGCUCGACUGACUCCACCGCCAGCCCCAAUCCUGGAAGUGUCGGCGAAACGGUUCCGUUUGUAUAAAGGCUUUUAAAGACGUUUCCUGUCUAAUUCCAGGGAUUAAAUCAUGUCAUCCUUGCCUUGCAACCAUUUUUUCAAGGGGUCAAGGUCAAAAGAAAGUCAAAGAUCAAAGGCCUAAAUAAAUCGACUUUCUUCGAGUAGAA
rnacentral:misc_RNA from 1 species